GCCCGCGUUCAAAUCUCCCAAAUCUAUUGAUCCCAAUGCAUUAUCUCCCCCAAAUUUCUUCCUCAACGCAGGCAUCUCUCCCAAAUCUCCUUUGCGCGCGAUGACGACGAGAUGGCGAGGCUCCUCUGCCGCGAGGAUGACGGGAUGGCGAGGGUCUCCAUUGCGCGCGACCGCGAGGGUCUCCUCUGUGCGCGACCGCGACGGGAUGGCGAGGGUCUCCUCUGCGUGCGACCGCGACGGUCUCCUCUGCGCACGACAGUGACUGUCUUCUUUGUGUCGACGAUCCCAGGAAGGGAUUGCUUAUGUCAUUGGCAGAGAGUCAGAAGAAUGUCUGUUGUAAAAAUCCCUUUUGCUCAAGUCGGGCUUCUUAUGGCAAUGUUGAGAGGUCAGCUGCAUGAUUAUUUAGCUUGUGCCUCUUCCUUCUAGCUAUCUGUAAUUUGCCUCAACUGCAAUAUGCCUCAGUUGGCACGUGCAAUAAUUUAUUUGGGACUCAAGAGAGUGUUCCCGUUCAGGUUACAUAACUCUUAAUUAGUGCUUUUAAAUUAUAUUGUGUUUUGUUCUUUUUAUUCAUAGGAUUGCUUUUAAAUCAACUAUAAUGCUUAAGAAGUGAGCAGAUUUUUUUGUAAGAUUUCUCAACUAUAUAUAUAAUAUGCCCUUUUUUUUAUCUGUUGUUAGUUGCCCCAAAACACUACCGAAGUGUUGGACUUUAGUGGAAUCCAGAUUGGCACGGCAGAGAUCGAGAUACAAGAAAGUAUGAAACUUGGGGUGGUGGAUGGAACCCAGCCAAAUAGCUUGUCUGGGACACAACUGUGGCUAUAAGUCAAUGUACUUGGAGAAGUUGGUUGGAUAGUUGUUUUAUUUUAGAAUGGAUGGGAAGUUGUUAAAAACAUGUUGAUAUAUUGUCAGAUGUAAAUAUAUUUUUUUUGGGACGAUUGGUGUUAAAUACA